AAUAUUGGACAAUGGGCGAAAGCCUGAUCCAGCCAUGCCGCGUGUGUGAAGAAGGUCUUCGGAUUGUAAAGCACUUUAAGUUGGGAGGAAGGGCAGGAAGUUAAUACCCUGCAAUUUUGACGUUGCCAACAGAAUAAGCACCGGCUAACUUCGUGCCAGCAGCCGCGGUAAUACGAAGGGUGCAAGCGUUAAUCGGAAUUACUGGGCGUAAAGCGCGCGUAGGUGGUUCGUUAAGUUGGAAGUGAAAGCACCGGGCUUAACCUGGGAAUUGCUUUCAAAACGGACGGGCUAGAGUACGGUAGAGGGUAGUGGAAUUUCCUGUGUAGCGGUGAAAUGCGUAGAUAUAGGAAGGAAAAUCAGUGGCGAAGGCGACUACCUGGACUGAUACUGACACUGAGGUGCGAAAGCGUGGGGAGCAAACAGG
rnacentral:rRNA from 1 species